GCAGGGGAGGCGCGUACGGAUGCGCGGCGGCGUGAAGAACCGACGGCAGAUGGUUCGAAUCCAUCCCCCUGCACCA
rnacentral:tRNA from 1 species